UGCUGGGUUGGUGGCUGGUUACACUGCAGGUCAUUUCCAGCCUUCACAGCUCUGAUUCCAGGAUUCUUAUUGCGAUGGUGGUGCUGGGUUGGCGGUUGGAGGUCAUUUCCAACCUUUACAGCUGUGAUUCCAUGACUCUUAGUGGGCAUGGUGGUGCUGGGUUGGUGGUUGGGUUACACUGGAGGUCAUUUCCAACCUUUACAGCUGUGAUUCCAUGACUCUUAGUGGACACAGGGGUUCUGGGUUGGUCAUUUCCAACCUUCACAGCUCUGAUUCCACGACUCUCAGUGGGGCACGGUGAUGCUGGGUUGGCGGUUGGAGGUCAUUUCCAACCUUCCCAGUGCUGUGGGUCUGUGAUUCU